rnacentral:rRNA from 1 species
ACCGACUAAUGUUGAAAAAUUAGCGGAUGACUUGUGGCUGGGGGUGAAAGGCCAAUCAAACCGGGAGAUAGCUGGUUCUCCCCGAAAGCUAUUUAGGUAGCGCCUCGUGAAUUCAUCUCCGGGGGUAGAGCACUGUUUCGGCAAGGGGGUCAUCCCGACUUACCAACCCGAUGCAAACUGCGAAUACCGGAGAAUGUUAUCACGGGAGACACACGGCGGGUGCUAACGUCCGUCGUGAAGAGGGAAACAACCCAGACCGCCAGCUAAGGUCCCAAAGUCAUGGUUAAGUGGGAAACGAUGUGGGAAGGCCCAGACAGCCAGGAUGUUGGCUUAGAAGCAGCCAUCAUUUAAAGAAAGCGUAAUAGCUCACUGGUCGAGUCGGCCUGCGCGGAAGAUGUAACGGGGCUAAACCAUGCACCGAAGCUGCGGCAGCGACACUAUGUGUUGUUGGGUAGGGGAGCGUUCUGUAAGCCUGUGAAGGUGUGCUGUGAGGCAUGCUGGAGGUAUCAGAAGUGCGAAUGCUGACAUAAGUAACGAUAAAGCGGGUGAAAAGCCCGCUCGCCGGAAGACCAAGGGUUCCUGUCCAACGUUAAUCGGGGCAGGGUGAGUCGACCCCUAAGGCGAGGCCGAAAGGCGUAGUCGAUGGGAAACAGGUUAAUAUUCCUGUACUUGGUGUUACUGCGAAGGGGGGACGGAGAAGGCUAUGUUGGCCGGGCGACGGUUGUCCCGGUUUAAGCGUGUAGGCUGGUUUUCCAGGCAAAUCCGGAAAAUCAAGGCUGAGGCGUGAUGACGAGGCACUACGGUGCUGAAGCAACAAAUGCCCUGCUUCCAGGAAAAGCCUCUAAGCAUCAGGUAACAUCAAAUCGUACCCCAAACCGACACAGGUGGUCAGGUAGAGAAUACCAAGGCGCUUGAGAGAACUCGGGUGAAGGAACUAGGCAAAAUGGUGCCGUAACUUCGGGAGAA